rnacentral:rRNA from 1 species
UGGGGAAUAUUGGACAAUGGGCGCAAGCCUGAUCCAGCCAUGCCGCGUGAGUGAUGAAGGCCUUAGGGUUGUAAAGCUCUUUCACCGGUGAAGAUAAUAACGGUAACCGGAGAAGAAGCCCCGGCUAACUUCGUGCCAGCAGCCGCGGUAAUACGAAGGGGGCUAGCGUUGUUCGGAAUUACUGGGCGUAAAGCGCACGUAGGCGGACAUUUAAGUCAGGGGUGAAAUCCCGGGGCUCAACCUCGGAACUGCCUUUGAUACUGGGUGUCUUGAGUAUGGAAGAGGUAAGUGGAAUUGCGAGUGUAGAGGUGAAAUUCGUAGAUAUUCGCAGGAACACCAGUGGCGAAGGCGGCUUACUGGUCCAUUACUGACGCUGAGGUGCGAAAGCGUGGGGAGCAAACAGG